rnacentral:rRNA from 1 species
AACGAACGCUGGCGGCAGGCUUAACACAUGCAAGUCGAGUGCCCCGCAAGGGGAGCGGCAGACGGGUGAGUAACGCGUGGGAACGUACCCUUUGCUACGGAAUAGCUCCGGGAAACUGGAAUAAAUACCGUAUGUGCCCUACGGGGGAAAGAUUUAUCGGCAAAGGAUCGGCCCGCGUUGGAUUAGCUAGUUGGUGGGGUAAUGGCCUACCAAGGCGACGAUCCAUAGCUGGUCUGAGAGGAUGAUCAGCCACAUUGGGACGGAGACACGGCCCAAACUCCUACGGGAGGCAGCAGUGGGGAAUAUUGGACAAUGGGCGCAAGCCUGAUCCAGCCAUGCCGCGUGAGUGAUGAAGGCCUUAGGGUUGUAAAGCUCUUUCACCGGAGAAGAUAAUGACGGUAUCCGGAGAAGAAGCCCCGGCUAACUUCGUGCCAGCCGCCGCAGUAAAAC